GAAUGGCCGUUUGGAGUUUCACCUGCAUCUUCAUCGCUGCUUCAACAAACCGAUUGCUAAGAGCACUAUUCGAGCAUGCCGUAUCGCGAAUUGGAAAAUUAGACACGAUCGAUCGUACUUACUUUCUACUAACGGCGCUAGAUUUCUAUCAUAAUCAGAACUUGAACGAAGAAGAAAAGGAAUCUUUUCUUGCAACAUUUAAGAAAGUUGCUCAAACGGGAACGCCUUACGCCGAUCUUGUACAGAGGAUUACUUGAAAUAUCAUGAGCACCAAAUACCUAAUUUUGAAGAUGACGAUGGCAACUAUCCGUGUAAUUUAAAUUAGAAUUUUUCAAAUUGAAUGUAUGAAUAAAUUAUUUGGUGUGCUUAA